UGUGCUCUUCCGAUCUCAUCAGGUAACAUCAAAUCGUACCCCAAACCGACACAGGUGGUCAGGUAGAGAAUACCAAGGCGCUUGAGAGAACUCGGGUGAAGGAACUAGGCAAAAUGGUGCCGUAACUUCGGGAGAAGGCACGCUGACACGUAGGUGAAGUGAUUUACUCACGGAGCUGAAGUCAGUCGAAGAUACCAGCUGGCUGCAACUGUUUAUUAAAAACACAGCACUGUGCAAACACGAAAGUGGACGUAUACGGUGUGACGCCUGCCCGGUGCCGGAAGGUUAAUUGAUGGGGUCAGCGCAAGCGAAGCUCCUGAUCGAAGCCCCGGUAAACGGCGGCCGUAACUAUAACGGUCCUAAGGUAGCGAAAUUCCUUGUCGGGUAAGUUCCGACCUGCACGAAUGGCGUAAUGAUGGCCAGGCUGUCUCCACCCGAGACUCAGUGAAAUUGAACUCGCUGUGAAGAUGCAGUGUACCCGCGGCAAGACGGAAAGACCCCGUGAACCUUUACUAUAGCUUGACACUGAACAUUGAGCCUUGAUGUGUAGGAUAGGUGGGAGGCUUUGAAGUGUGGACGCCAGUCUGCAUGGAGCCGACCUUGAAAUACCACCCUUUAAUGUUUGAUGUUCUAACGUGGACCCGUAAUCCGGGUUGCGGACAGUGUCUGGUGGGUAGUUUGACUGGGGCGGUCUCCUCCUAAAGAGUAACGGAGGAGCACGAAGGUUGGCUAAUCCUGGUCGGACAUCAGGAGGUUAGUGCAAUGGCAUAAGCCAGCUUGACUGCGAGCGUGACGGCGCGAGCAGGUGCGAAAGCAGGUCAUAGUGAUCCGGUGGUUCUGAAUGGAAGGGCCAUCGCUCAACGGAUAAAAGGUACUCCGGGGAUAACAGGCUGAUACCGCCCAAGAGUUCAUAUCGACGGCGGUGUUUGGCACCUCGAUGUCGGCUCAUCACAUCCUGGGGCUGAAGUAGGUCCCAAGGGUAUGGCUGUUCGCCAUUUAAAGUGGUACGCGAGCUGGGUUUAGAACGUCGUGAGACAGUUCGGUCCCUAUCUGCCGUGGGCGCUGGAGAACUGAGGGGGGCUGCUCCUAGUACGAGAGGACCGGAGUGGACGCAUCACUGGUGUUCGGGUUGUCAUGCCAAUGGCACUGCCCGGUAGCUAAAUGCGGAAGAGAUAAGUGCUGAAAGCAUCUAAGCACGAAACUUGCCCCGAGAUGAGUUCUCCCUGAGACUUUAGGUCUCCUGAAGGAACGUUGAAGACGACGACGUUGAUAGGCCGGGUGUGUAAGCGCAGCGAUGCGUUGAGCUAACCGGUACUAAUGAACCGUGAGGCUUAACCUU
rnacentral:rRNA from 1 species